rnacentral:rRNA from 1 species
AUUGAACGCUGGCGGCAUGCUUUACACAUGCAAGUCGAACGGUAACAGGCCUUCGGGUGCUGACGAGUGGCGAACGGGUGAGUAAUGCAUCGGAACGUGCCCAAUCGUGGGGGGAUAACGUAGCGAAAGUUACGCUAAUACCGCAUAAGCCCUGAGGGGGAAAGCAGGGGAUCGCAAGACCUUGCGCGAAUGGAGCGGCCGAUGUCAGAUUAGCUAGUUGGUGGGGUAAAGGCCUACCAAGGCGACGAUCUGUAGCGGGUCUGAGAGGAUGAUCCGCCACACUGGGACUGAGACACGGCCCAGACUCCUACGGGAGGCAGCAGUGGGGAAUUUUGGACAAUGGGCGCAAGCCUGAUCCAGCCAUGCCGCGUGCGGGACGAAGGCCUCGGGUUGUAACC